rnacentral:rRNA from 1 species
UCCGAACCAGUAUGGGUUGAAAACCGUUUGGAUGACUUGAGGAUAGGGGUGAAAGGCCAAUCAAAUUCCGUGAUAGCUGGUUCUCCCCGAAAUAGCUUUAGGGCUAGCGUCGGAUGUUUCGUCGUGCAGGUAGAGACCUGAAUGGACUAGGGGGCACACCCGCUUACCGAAUCCAACCAAUCUUCGAAUGGCACGCCGUGAAGUCCGGCAGUCAGACAGUGGGCGAUAAGGUCCAUUGUCGAGAGGGAAAGAACCCAGAUCGCCAGCUAAGGUCCCAAAAUCUCUGCUAAGUGGAAAAGGAUGUGGAUGUGCUUAGACAGCCAGGAGGUUAGCUUAGAAGCAGCUAUCCUUUAAAGAAAGCGUAAUAGCUCACUGGUCAAGCGGGUCUGUGCCGACAAUUCAACGGGGCUCAAGCAGAGUACCGAAGCUGCGAACGUAAGUGGUAGGGGAGCAUUCCCUAGGCCUGCGAAGGUUGACCGUGAGGACAGCUGGAGGCAUGGGAAGAGACUCUGUCGGCAUAAGUAGCGUAAAGACGGGCGAGAACCCCGUCCACCGUAAGACUAAGGAUUCCAACGCAAGGUCAAUCCGCGUUGGGUUAGUCGGACCCUAAGCUGAGGCCGAGAGGCGUAGGCGAUGGAAAGCUGGUUAAUAUUCCAGCACCAUGAAUACCUCGUUUGUACGAUGCAGGGACGCAGAAAGGUAGUCGCGCAGCUCUAUGGAAUGUGCUGUGAAAUCUUUCAAGGGUGAGACUUAGGGAAGUCCGGGUCUCAUGAGCCCAAGAAUUAUGACGAAAGGCGAUGAUCCUACGCUGCCGAGAAAAGCUGCUAAGGAGAGGUAUUUGUGUCCGUACCGCAAACCGACACAGGUAGUCGAGGAGAGAAUCCUCAGGUGUUUGAGUGAAGUGUGCUGAAGGAACUCGGCAAAUUAACCCCGUAACUUCGGGAGAAGGGGUACCACGGUAGGGUUCAUAGCCCGAGGUGGUGGCACAUAAAUGUCCCAGGCGACUGUUUAACAAAAACACAGGUCUCUGCAAACUCCAAAGAGGAGGUAUAGGGGCUGACGCCUGCCCGGUGCCGGAAGGUCAAGAGGAGCGGUUAGCGCAAGCGAAGCUGCGAAUUUAAGCCCCGGUGAACGGCGGCCGUAACUAUAACGGUCCUAAGGUAGCGAAAUUCCUUGUCGGGUAA